rnacentral:rRNA from 1 species
UACGGAGGAUACGAGCGUUAUCCGGAUUUAUUGGGUUUAAAGGGAGCGUAGGUGGAUUGUUAAGUCAGUUGUGAAAGUUUGCGGCUCAACCGUAAAAUUGCAGUUGAAACUGGGAGACUUGAGUGCAGAAGAGGAGAGUGGAACUCCAUGUGUAGCGGUGAAAUGCGUAGAUAUAUGGAAGAACACCAGUGGCGAAAGCGGCUCUCUGGUCUGUAACUGACGCUGAGGUUCGAAAGCGUGGGUAGCAAACAGG